rnacentral:misc_RNA from 1 species
UAGUUAACGCAGACGAUUAUACUUCAGUAUAACCACAGACUGACGUCAAGAAGCGUCGAGGAUUCACGCGUCAAGCGCGUCUCGGGAGGUUCGAGGGAAAUAUUAAAGGAACAGUGUGGUGUCUCGGUAGUGAAUCUGGGUCAUCUCCACAUGUACCGUUUCCGAAGUCGAUGAAGUCGAGCUAACAAUUACGUCCUUAGAAUACUCCACCGCACGGGACAUUUAUAAUGUCUUCGGUCCAGCGUGCAUUUGCCCACAAGCUGAGCAAGCAGCAUGCCGCCGAUGUGAGGCGGCAAAUUGCCACUUCCACUUCUUAUUCACGUGAUUUAUCAAAGAGUGGUAGCAGUAUAUCAGGAUUCUCCUCAACGAUGUCCUUGUGCGAGGUAUUGGAGCCAUUGGACUACGAAGACUUCUUAGGACAACAUCAGUCGGUGCUGGAUCGCGAUCCCUUGAAGCCUAUACUGGACUUUCCACCGGGUGAUGUUGAAUUGAGAGUUGUGAAACGGAAGAUCCGCACGGAAGAGCCAGUAGUUCCGCACGAAUCCUUAGAUACAGUAUCGCCUUACGUGAAGAGAUGCAUCGAGAGCUUCACUUCAGACUGGGUUGUAAUACAUCGCAAGUACAAAGGGAGGAUCUCGCCUAUCGCCAGGGACAGAUUGCUCCAGGACACACCCAGACAAGACUUUGAGGUGGAUCAAGAAGACGCGAACGGCUGCGGCUCACCGAAUGAGGAGGACGAUCUCUCCAACUGCGGAGACACCCCGAGAGGAUCCUGGGCGAGCCUGGAUCUGCGGCAUUCGCAACAUGAUCCACUUCUGCCGAGCUUGCUGGAUCGCGUCUGCCUCGAGACGAUCGAUCAGAUGAACGAACAGAAGAGAUUGGAGGAUCGACAGGAAGCCUUGUUUCCUCUUUACGCCCCGCCGAUCUCACCGGACGACGAGUGGCAAGAAAUCGGCGUUGCUCCUGAGCCCACGGAGCCUUUCGCCCACAAAAUUCUCGUGAAAUGUCUGCAGUUGAAGCUAGAAUUGGAAGUGGAGCCGAUAUUCGCGAGCCUUGCGUUGUACGAUGCUAGAGAAAAGAAAAAAGUGUCGGAGAACUUUUACGUCGACAUGAAUUCCGAGGGACUGAAAAGAAUGCUCGGGGGUCACAUCGCUUACAGCGACGCGAGUACCUUGGCCAGGGGCUGCGUUCUGAGCGUCAAUAAGCCGAGUCCCGAUUUGUUCCUCGUCGUGCGGCUGGAAAAAGUGUUGCAGGGUGACAUCUCGGAGUGCGCUGAACCGUACUUGCGCGAGGAUAAAAAUAAAGAUAAGGUCAGAGCUGCCGCCGCUGCGGCGUGCGAACGUCUCGGUCGUUACAGGAUGCCUCUCGCGUGGACCGCGAUUCAUCUGUCGGGUGUAAUCGGAGGUGGCGGCGACGCGGAUAGCACCGGCAGCGCUGGAUCCUUAGACAGAAAGUCGGGCGGGUUGGAGCAAUGGCGGAAGAAGGUGGAACCGCCAACGCGACGAGGCUCCCUGGAAAGACGGAGCUCGGACAAGAGACGCAGUUGGUCGCCGGAUGAUUUCGCCAACUGCCUCGACAGCUUCAGACCCAUCACUUUAACCGUCUCGAGCUUCUUCAAGCAGGAAAGCGAACGUCUUCGCGACGAAGACCUCUAUAAGCUUCUGGUCGAGCUGCGAAGGCCUGGUUCUAAUCUGAAACGAUUGAAGUGCCUGCCAGGAAUACUGAAAUUGGAUCUCAGUCCCAGACCUGAAGAGCUGCCCAGAUGUCUGGAUCCUGAUCUUAGGAGAUUAAAUCCGUAUCCGGAUGAGAAGAGCCGACCGGUCAAAGAGAUACUCGAGUUCCCGAGCGAAGUCAUCACGCCGGACUUAACGUAUCGUAAUCUGCUGUAUCUUUAUCCUAAGGAAGCGAACUUCAGCUCCAGAACUGGCUCGGCUCGUAACAUCGCUGUGAGAAUCCAGUUGAUGGGAGGCGAACAGGAAGCUGACGCGCUUACAGCUAUCUUCGGCAGAUCGUCGUGCCCUGAGAUGACGCACGAGUACUUCACUUCCGUAUCGUACCACAACAAGAAUCCGAAUUUUUACGACGAAGUCAAGAUGAGGCUGCCUGCAGAUUUGAGCGCCAAGCAUCACUUGUUAUUCACCUUCUAUCACAUCAGUUGCCAGAAGAAAGCGGAACAGCCCAACGUCGAAACAGCAGUCGCUUAUACAUGGCUACCGCUUUUGAGAGACGGUCAUCUGCAAUCGGGCGAGUUCAGUUUGCCCGCUAUGUUGGAUCCACCUCCGGCAAACUAUUCUUACAUUGCACCCGAUGUCCUUCUGCCAGGUACCAGAUGGGUGGAUGCUCACCGAGGAGUCUUUACUGUUAUAUUGGAGCCCGUUUCCAGCGUACAUCCGCAGGACAAAUAUAUCGACAGAUUUCUAUCGUUGUGCGGCUUUCUAGAGACCGGUCAGGUUCCGCCUCGCAUCGGCGAAGCUGGCAUGGAGUCAGAAGUGAAAUCAGCCCUUCUGGAAUUAGCUCGUGCGUCUCACUCCGCGUUGGUGCGAUCCCUUCCGCAAUUGCUGGAUCAAUUGCUGUGUCUCUUAGUGCGGCCGCCAACGUUACCGUCCCAGUCGUUGAACGUUGCCGCCACCAUUUUCGAAGCCUUAGGCCUGCUCGUGCGAAAUAUUACCAACUUGCCGGACGGGCAAUUGGACGCGCACGGCAGACACGCGCUCCUGGCUACUUACAUCGCGUAUCAGUGCUCGUUGCCAAGCAUGUCUCACGGCGGAGGCGUUGUGCGAGCGCAGAGCAACCCCGAUUUGCCUCUGGAAGAUUUAGAGAUGGAGAUCCAUUCGCGAGGGCUGGACAGAACAGCGUCGAUGCGGCAGGAAUCGCCGUCGAUCAACAGCCAACCUAGCAGAAGACUUCUGCACGAGGAGCUCGCCUUGCACUGGGUCGUGUCGACCGGCCAGGCACGCGAACUGGCGAUCACGCAUUCGUGGUUCUUCCUGGAACUGAUAGUGCGUUCGAUGGUUGUCACGCUGUCUGAGGUGAACACGUUGGAGGCACCGCGGAAAUUGAGAUUCUCACCACAGUUCUGUGACGACAUCGCGACGCUGAUCGCCGCAUUAACGUCCGAGGUGAUAUCGCGCUGCGGCAAGGAGAUCCGCGUCGCGUCCAACUUGAUAUCAAGCCUCGGCAAUUUUCUCUCCGAUCUGCUCUCCGUGAUGGACAGAGGUUUCGUGCUAUCGCUUGUGCGCGCGAGCUGCUGCUCGCUGUCGGACGCGUCAAUGCACAUCCCCGACUCCGCGGCGUUGUUCGCUUUGAAACUCGAUCUCGUGAGGACGGUGUGCUCGCACGAACACUACGUAGCGCUGAAUCUACCGUUCGGCACGGGUUACACGUCCGGAUCCGCCCCGGCGUCACCGAGUCCGUCGACCGGCAGCUCGGGCAGCCUGAUCUCUACUCUCGUGCCUGGAGACAGGGCCAGAUUCUCGGAACUGAGUCAGGAGUUCAGGCAACAGCACUUCCUCGUCGGUAUCGUUCUCUCCGACCUGGCGAACACCUUGGAGGUACCCAAUCCAAUGCUGCAGAACAAGGCGAUUGGCACCGUGCGACACCUUAUGAGUUGCCACGACGCCGAUCUGCGGUACGCUGACCCCGCAGCGAAAGCAAGAGUCGCCGCGCUGUAUCUGCCGCUGCUCAGUAUUCUGAUGGACGCUUUGCCGCAGCUUUAUCACUGGGACUCCAAGGACAAGAGCGUCUACCCAGACGAGUCCGGAUCGAUCACGCAAUCAGUGGCGCUGGCGAUCGCCGGUGGCGCGUCGGCAGACACCGCGGGCAAUCAGUGCCGCGUGUCUUUGAGCUCUGAGGCCACUCGACAUUUGCUGAUGUGCGCUCUAUGGGUGCUCAAGGGAUUGGAGCGAACUGCACUGGCACAAUGGUGCUCCGAGCUUAGCGCGAGACGUAUCCUGAGCUUGCUGCAGGUAUUGAACAUUGCCACCGCAGCUUUCGAGUACAAAGGCAAAAAAGCGCUCAAACGACUGCCGCCCCAAGCGGCGGCCACUAGUGAUAUCAGAUCGCGAUUGGAGGACGUGAUCCUCGGCCAGGGAAGCGCCAGAAGCGAGAUGAUGCUGCGAAGGAAGGAGAGAAUAACCGGCGACAAAUUACGGUGGCGCAAGGACCAAAUGCCCUACAGAUCAUGCGAACAGCCGGAAGGAAGGGCUGUGGAACAGGAUGCUCAUAUAGAAGGAGCGUUAGCAGCCGAGGCUUCUCUUGUUGUAUUGGAUACCCUGGAAUCCGUAGUUCAAGCUGAUGGCGGUGGAGGUGCAGUUGUUGGAGCGGUGUUGAAGGUGCUGCUAAGGGCGCUGGCUAGAAACCAAAGUACGUCGGUGCUUCAGCACAUGUUCAACACGCAGCGAGCUCUGGUCUUCAAGUAUCACAGCGCACUGUUCGACGAGGAAAGUGAGCGCUGCGGAGAUCUGUGCUUGACAUUGUUGACUCGAUGCAGCUCACCUCUGAGCGCCGUCAGGAGCCACGCGGCUGCGAGCUUGUACCUACUGAUGCGGCAGAACUUUGAAAUUGGGAAUAAUUUUGCACGCGUCAAAAUGCAAGUCACAACGUCCCUAUCCGCUCUCGUUGGGAGAGGUAGAGCACCCAGCGAGGGAGCAUUGCGCAGAGCCCUGAAAACAGUGUUGGUGUACGCUGAAAGAGAUACGGAGCUUGCGGACACGAGUUUCCCCGAGCAAGUGAAAGAUCUACUGUUCAAUCUUCAUAUGAUCCUUUCCGAUACCGUUAAGAUGAAAGAGUUCCAAGAGGAUCCUGAAAUGCUGCUGGAUUUGAUGUACAGAAUCGCGAAAGGCUAUCAAGGCUCGCCGGAUCUUCGGCUUACCUGGCUUGCAAACAUGGCGCAGCAGCACAUGGAGAGGAAGAAUCACACGGAAGCCGCAAUGUGUCUGGUGCACAGCGCCGCUCUGGUAGCGGAAUACCUGCAUUUAUUGGAACCCGGUGGUGGCGGUCGACCCGUAGGCGCCGUCGCUUUGAAUCCCGUGACACCGAAUGCUCUCGAGGAAAGCGCCGUGGGCGAUGAUGUGCUGGCCAGAAGGGAGGAAGGGCUCUGCUUGGGACCUGAUUUUUCGGAGAGUGGACUGGCAGGGUUGCUGGAACACGCGGCUAGCUCUUUUCACGCAGCCGGGAUGUACGAGGCUAUUCCCGACGUGUACAGAGUGUUGCUGCCUAUAGCAGAAGCUGCGCACGACUAUAAGAAACUGGCCAACAUUCACGGGAAACUUCACGAGGCGUAUACGCGCGUGGAACAGUUGGCCGGCAAACGUGUCUUCGGCACGUACUUCAGGGUUGGUUUCUACGGUGCGAGAUUCGGCGACCUCGCCGGUGAGGAAUUCGUGUACAAGGAGCCGACCCUGACGAAGCUCCCGGAGAUAUUCUCGAGGCUUGAGAACUUCUACGCCGAGAGAUUCGGCGCGGAGAAUAUAGUCAUAAUAAAGGACUCUAAUCCGGUGGAUCCCAGCAAGCUGGAACCUGACAAGGCUUACGUGCAAAUCACCUACGUGGAACCGUACUUCGAGGCGCACGAACUGAGACACAGGCCCACGGUUUUCCAUCGGAAUUUCAAUAUAAAACGCUUCGUGUACGCGACACCUUUCACACCCGGCGGUAAAGCCCACGGCGAGCUGCGCGAGCAGUGUAAACGCAAGACGAUAUUGACGGUGUCGACACAUUUCCCGUACCUGAAAACCAGGAUUCGAGUCGUGGCUCGUAAACAGAUAGUCCUGAGUCCCAUCGAAGUGGCGAUCGAAGACAUACAGAAGAAGACCGCCGAGGUGGCCGCCGCGACCUCUCAGGAACCACCUGACGCGAAGAUGCUGCAGAUGGUCCUGCAGGGAUGCAUCGGCACGACUGUCAAUCAAGGACCGGCCGAGGUAGCGGUGGUGUUUCUGUCCGGUUUGCGCGAGCAGAACGCGCAGCCGACCCGAUUGCAGCACAAACUCCGUCUGUGCUUCAAGGAUUUCCAGAAAAAGUGUCUCGACGCUCUGCGUCGCAAUAAGAACUUGAUCGGUCCCGAUCAGCGGGAUUAUCAGCGGGAGUUGGAGAGAAAUUACCAAAGAUUGACCGAACGACUGGCGCCCCUCAUCGCUUGGAGGUGGACAUUGACGCCGCGCAUUCCAGUGGCUGCCGAUAAACCAAAGGUGCGCGAUUUCACGAGUGACGUGGUGAGUUAACGAAUGUGACGUUGGGAGAUAAAUCGAGUCGUACCAGUGGAGCGGAGACAAUCGAAUCGCUAGAAUGAUUCCAGCGAAGAAGAUAACCCCGCGGCGCAAGCAACCCCCGUCGUCUCGUCGCCGUUCUCGCAUUGUCCCACCGACGGGGCGCAUUCACCCCUUUCGCCACGAGGUCCGCGCCGUUCCUCCAGAGAUAUCUACAAGGAACUGGACACAGCUGGCGCUGUCAUCGCGCGACCACGAUUCCACUGAAACUCCAUUGCGGGUGCCGGCGUGGCCAUACGCGUCCUCUCUUGGAUCGCGCUGGUGCGCGGCGUACUAGGGUCCCAAAAUGUACUCUCCCUUCGCGAUAUUAAAUUUCUUUUCACUUCUAGCUCCUUUAUACCCUUCAAUUUACCUCCUUUCUCCUCCUGUUACUCGUUCCCAUGCUGAUUCGUACGUUAAUUUCGAUCGAGUGCAGAAAGUGCACGGAGAGUGCAGCUGAAAGGUACAGGAGUAGCUCCAAUAUCAUUUCGCGUUCUUUUGUGAACGCUGGGAUGAAAACCGUGAUCUUUUCCUGCUCCGACAGCAGUUACGGUUGGUGUCGACUGUAAGAA